rnacentral:piRNA from 1 species
AAGAGCUGUAACACUUGCCGUGAAGGUCUGC